rnacentral:rRNA from 1 species
UAUACAUGCAAGUCGAGGGUGAUUAUCGGAUUCGUCUGAUAUGAAACCGGCGCACGGGUGCGUAACACGUAUGCAACCUACCUUUAACUGGGGUAUAGCUCAGAGAAAUCUGAAUUAAUCCCCCAUAACACUACGACAUGGCAUCAUGAUGUAGUUAAAGCUCCGGCGGUUAAGGAUGGGCAUGCGGUACAUUAGCUAGUUGGUGAGGUAAUGGCUCACCAAGGCUACGAUGUAUAGGGGGUCUGAGAGGAUGAUCCCCCACACUGGUACUGAGACACGGACCAGACUCCUACGGGAGGCAGCAGUAGGGAAUAUUGGUCAAUGGACGAAAGUCUGAACCAGCCAUGCCGCGUGAAGGAUGAAGGCCCUCUGGGUCGUAAACUUCUUUUAUUAGGGAAGAAACCUCAGGAUGCGUCCUGAGCUGACGGUACUUAAUGAAUAAGGAUCGGCUAACUUCGUGCCAGCAGCCGCGGUAAGACGAAGGAUCCAAGCGUUGUCCGGAUUUACUGGGUUUAAAGGGUGCGUAGGCGGAAAAUUAAGUCAGUGGUGAAAGCCCGCAGCUCAACUGUGGAACUGCCAUUGAAACUGGUUUUCUUGAAUAUAGCUGAGGCAGAUGGAAUAUAACAUGUAGCGGUGAAAUGCUUAGAUAUGUUAUAGAACACCGAUUGCGAAGGCAGUCUGCUAAACUAUUAUUGACGCCGAGGCACGAAAGCGUGGGGAGCGAACAGGAUUAGAUACCCUGGUAGUCCACGCCCUAAACGUUGAUUACUCGCUGUUGGCGAUAUACUGUCAGUGGCUAAGCGAAAGCAUUAAGUAAUCCACCUGGGAAGUACGACCGCAAGGUUGAAACUCAAAGGAAUUGACGGGGGCCCGCACAAGCGGAGGAGCAUGUGGUUUAAUUCGAUGAUACGCGAGAAACCUUACCUGGGC